CCUUGGUGUUAUGGCUCAGUGGCAGAGCGCUUGCCUAGCAUGUAGAGGCCCUGGGUUCCAGCCCCAGGACUAAGAA
rnacentral:tRNA from 1 species